UUACACUAUAACCUCACGCUGAAGGUGAAGGAUGGAUUAUCCACGGCUAAGUACGUGGCAGUUGUGUACGAGUCCUUGAAGGGCGAGAAGAAGCUCGAGUCCUUCGUGCUGAUUCAGCAAAAACUCGGUGGUUGGACUCCGGAAGACGUUAACAACCCCCACGUCCAUGAUAUCGCUGUAUUCGCUGUCUCCGAGCACAACAAAGAGGCGAAGGAGCCUCUGACCUUGGUGAACGUGGUGCAAGCUCAGAGCCAGGUGGUGGCCGGGGUCAACUACAAACUGCUGCUGGUGGCCAAAAACGAGAAGGGCGCGUCCGCCGGAUACGAGGCGGUGGUGUGGGAGAAGGAAUGGGAGAACUUCCGGAAGCUCACCUCCUUCAAGCGGCUACUCACAAACUAAUUAAUGCCUUAUCCGUGUCCGUGUCGAAUAAAGGAAGCUGAAAGCUUGAUGUUGUGUCAGCAGUAUUCGUACGUGUGUCGAAUAAGUCAUCGGCCUACAACGCUGAGAGGCGAUGCGUUGUUCCUUUGCUGAUGUGGUGACGAAUAAAGCCUGUGUUAUCACAA